GACGAACGCUGGCGGCGUGCUUAACACAUGCAAGUCGAACGGAAAGGCCCUGCUGUUGUGGGGUGCUCGAGUGGCGAACGGGUGAGUAACACGUGAGUAACCUGCCCUUGACUUUGGGAUAACUUCAGGAAACUGGGGCUAAUACCGGAUAGGAGCUCCUGCUGCAUGGUGGGGGUUGGAAAGUUUCGGCGGUUGGGGAUGGACUCGCGGCUUAUCAGCUUGUUGGUGGGGUAGUGGCUGACCAAGGCUUUGACGGGUAGCCGGCCUGUGAGGGUGACCGGCGACAAUGGGACUGAGAUACGGACCAGACUCCUACGGGAGGCAGCAGUGGGGAAUAUGGCACAAUGGGCGGAAGUGUGAUGCAGCAACGCCGCGUGCGGGAUGACGGCCUUCGGGUUGUAAACCGCUUUCGCCUGUGACGAAGCGUGAGUGACGGUAAUGGGUAAAGAAGCACCGGCUAACUACGUG
rnacentral:rRNA from 1 species